rnacentral:rRNA from 1 species
GCUUUUGUUGGUUUUAAAAGUCCAUUGGAGAUUAUGGGACCGUGUGACAAGCGGUCGGGCGCGUUUUGCAUCUGAUCAUAAUUUCUUUUAUGACUCAGGCUGCGCAGCCCGUCGCCCCCGAGGAAGACCAAAAACGUGCACGUGUAGGAUGGUGUGUCUUGCCACACUCACGCGCACGUUUCCUUCUUCGGCUCGCGGCGCCCAGGAAUGAAGGAGGGUAGUUCGGGGGGGGACGUAUUGGUGCGUCAGAGGUGAAAUUCUUGGACCGCACCAGGACGAACUACAGCGAAGGCAUUCUUCAAGGAACCUUCCUCAAUCAAGA